GACGAACGCUGGCGGCGUGCUUAACACAUGCAAGUCGAACGGAAAGGCCCUGCUUGCAGGGUACUCGAGUGGCGAACGGGUGAGUAACACGUGGGUGAUCUGCCCUGCACUUCGGGAUAAGCCUGGGAAACUGGGUCUAAUACCGGAUAGGAGCCAUUUUUAGUGUGAUGGUUGGAAAGUUUUUUUCGGUGUAGGAUGAGCUCGCGGCCUAUCAGCUUGUUGGUGGGGUAAUGGCCUACCAAGGCGGCGACGGGUAGCCGGCCUGAGAGGGUGGAUGGCCACAUUGGGACUGAGAUACGGCCCAGACUCCUACGGGAGGCAGCAGUGGGGAAUAUUGCACAAUGGGCGCAAGCCUGAUGCAGCGACGCCGCGUGGGGGAUGACGGCCUUCGGGUUGUAAACUCCUUUCGCUAGGGACGAAGCUUUUUGUGACGGUACCUAGAUAAGAAGCACCGGCUAACUACGU
rnacentral:rRNA from 1 species